CUGUACUUAAUUAUGCAUAGACGACUUAUUAACGCGCCAUGAAGGUCACAUGAUUACGGGUAGCACCAAUCAGCAGUGAGGACUAAGCUGCCUGGGGCGGUUGUCGUCGACCCCCCGGCUGAAGCUCUUCCCCCACUUGUGAAGCGUACAGCCCACGUAGAGCUAGUCAGCAUUCAGCUUCGAGAGUGCGCCCCCGCUCUGGGGGUGUCGCGGCCAUCCGCAGGCAGAGCUUUGACAGCCGGGAAAGGAGGAACGCAGAGAAGGAGCGCAGACUCGCAGAUGAGUAACUGAGAAGGCAGUGCUGCAUGAUCAGGGGGGGGGCCCUGCUCCAUCGCCGGGUGGGUCCUGCUCCCGAGCAAGGCGUGAGAAAUACAGGGAGACCAUUUACAGAGCCGUCCUGCUGCUUCCGGUCCAGAACAGCAGGGACACGUUGGCUAACAGGCACCCAGACAGGACGGGACAGGCCGUGGUUUUCACGAGCAGCUCUGGUUCCUCCCGUCCAGGGACGUGUGGACAAGGCCUGCACCUCUCCGACAGGCGUGUGAUGGUGCACAAGGGCACCAAGGUCCUGUGCCCAUUUUGUGGCCAAAUGAGCCUCCUAGAGAAGGAGAGACAGACAGACACAGAUGCCAUUGGGGCGAGUUUUCUGUUAUUGGGGCCCCAUUGAAAAUAUCACUUUGCCCCCCCCCCCCCCCCACCCGCCAAUAAUGCUUUAAAGAUUAAAUAAAAGCUUAGCAAGCAGAGUCACAAGAUCGUAGCUCACUAGCUGGUUAGCAGAACACACUGCUUCAGCAUCUCCUAAAUAAGGAGCGUGUUUAUUUAAUAUUUGGUGCCGUGUCUGUUUGUGGCCAACAGAGGGCCCCCAAACCUCCGGGGCCCGAUGUGUAUGCAUGAUUCGAGUGAUGGUUGAGCAUGGGCCACCCCGCCCCUGAGGCCCAGCGAUUACACAUCCUGCCUGAUGCUAAAACCACCCCCCCCUCGGCAACCCAUCAAACCCCCGUCGGCAUCGCCGUGAGUCCGCAGUGACGCCAGCGGCCUGAUCAAAGGCUGCGGUAUCAAAGCAGGCAUGAGGUUUCUUAAACAUUAAAGAACUGGGGGGGUGGGGGCGCGCGCUGACAUCCAUGCCCCCCAUCUGAUCCUCUGGCCUGCCGUUACCUGUCUGGAUACCCCCCCCCCCCCCCCCCGCAGUCAGGAUGGGGGCGGGGUCUUUCUUAUGCCAGGCCAAAGGCCAUCGCUGGAGUCUCGAUCUUCACAAGCAUUUAACCAGCAAAGCCAACACGGUCCUUACUAAUAAAUCACAUUAACAAUGCAGUUUUUUACAAUAUCAUCUCGCUGGUUGUAAGAAAGCUUUAUCCCCAGCUACAGACGCAUUUCCUCAGCGGCCUUCCUGCAGAAAGAAGAUUUUAUCUGUUCUGCAUAAGAAAUGAGUCUAUUAGAGAAUUGCACAUUAUCCAGCUUAAUAAGGAAUUCAGCAGUUCAGCUGGUUUCGGGAUUUCGAGUUCCUGGUGCUGCUCUUAUACAGGAUGGAUUAUUAUUAUUUUUCAAUAAAAAAGAAAGACAGGAAAAAUAAGCCUCUGACAGAUCAUUUUUAUGUAUGACCUUGAUUUUUCAGGAUGAAAGGAAUUUACACGUGCUGCGUGACAACAGCUAAAGGAGCUCGCCGCUUGUUACCGAGGACCAAUCACUGUGGGCUUCAUUGUCAGAUUACACAUCCAGGUGGAGUAUCAUUCGCUACCCUGCCUGUAAGUCACACAGCGGGCGUGUGUCCUAGUGCUGUGCCUGCACGGGAUUGGCUGUGUGGAGGAGAAGCAAGCAGCCCCCUUGGACACAUCUGCAUUCAGUCUGGCCCUGCUGUCCAAACUCUCCUCGACUUCAUAAGAGCCGGUCAGGUUUGAAGUUCGACCCCAUGCUUAGGGAUGGAAAUUGGCCGCUCGGUGCUGGCUGAGCCUCACCCCUGAGAUGGGAUCGUCACACGGACGGCCUGGCCGAGGAGACGCUGCAGUUAGUAUGUGAGUCCCGAGAAUCUUCCAGAAGUGUCGGAGCACUGUAACCACUUGUUCUAUUCAGGGUUGCCGGCGCUACAAAGUUAGGAGUGCAGGGCGGGACACACCCUAUUGCACGGCACUCACACACACACGCACACCUGUGGACGGACACACCCUAUUGCACGACACUCUCACACACACACGCACGCCUGUGGACUGUGGGGGGAUCCCCAGAACCUGGAGGAAACCCUACGAUGACAUGAGGAGGACAUGCGAACUCCACACAUGGAGCCAUGGCGGAAACGCGAACUCCACUUCCAGAGGUGUGGGGCCACCACUGUGCUACCCCCACCUGUUAUUCUGGUUUAUAUUUAACUAUAAAUUUCUCACGUAUCAUGUAACAAAGCUAUAGACCAAUGCUCAGUUUUUCAAACACAAAUGUAAUGGCUUGAUGUUUACUGUAAAAGUAUAAUUAUUAUUAAAGGAUCAAAGAGCUGA